rnacentral:rRNA from 1 species
UACGUAGGGAGCAAGCGUUAUCCGGAUUUACUGGGUGUAAAGGGCGUGUAGGCGGGCAUGCAAGUCAGAAGUGAAAUCUGGGGGCUUAACCCCCAAACUGCUUUUGAAACUGCGUGUCUUGAGUGAUGGAGAGGCAGGCGGAAUUCCCAGUGUAGCGGUGAAAUGCAUAGAUAUUGGGAGGAACACCAGUGGCGAAGGCGGCCUGCUGGACAUUAACUGACGCUGAGGCGCGAAAGCGUGGGGAGCAA